CGGCCUGCCCAUGCUGUUUUUUCUGCCUAGUGUGCAUACUUCUCUCCUGGCCUUCAGAUGACCUGUCACUCGUUUUUCAGGACCCAACUCAUAGGACACUUCCUCUUUCAAGAGGAAUGCUAGAUGAGAUUUUGGAGAGAGAAGGUUAGUCAUUAAGGGGGAAAAAAGAAAGAUAGGGCCAGAGUUGUAACAUUUGGUAAAUAAUCUCUAUUAAUGGACUUGAUAUGUUAUGGUUAUUUGUGCAUUUGUCUCUUUCUCUCAGACUUACUGUUUUGUGUUUAUAUCCUUAGCAUGCAGCAUAAGUGCUCAAUAAGUGUUUGUUAAAUAAGUGAAGUAGGUAUGAGGAGGGAACAACUGUUUAUUGAGCACCUAUUGUAAGCCUAUAUGCUUUUCACACAUCAUCUCAUUUAAACCUCAAAACGAUUUUUUUGAUUUAAGUAUUAUUUGCUAAUAAGAAACAGUCGCAGAGGACAUAAAUACUUCCCUCUCUCCCCACCCACCAAGGUUACGGGUUUGUGAGGAGUGGAACUAAAGUUGGAGCCUAGAUCUGUCUGACUCCAAACCUUUCCUCUGUUGUGUGAUUCUCAGACAGGGUCAAUUUUGUCCCCCCUUUCUGGGGACAUUUGGUAAUGUCUGGAGAUAUUCUUGGUUAUUAUAAUGGGGGUGUUACUGGCAUCUAGUGGGUACAGGUCAGGUGUGCUGCUAGGCAUCUUCCAAUGCACAGAAAAGCCCCACAACAAAGAAUUAUCUGGCCCUGAAUGCCAGUAGUGCCAAGGUUCAGUGUCUUCAUCUGUUUGAGCUGCUGUAAUAAAAUGGCAUAGACUGGAUAGUUUAUAAAUAACAGAAAUUCAAUUCUCACAGUUCUGGAGGCCAGGAAGUCCAAGAUCAAGGUGCCAGCAGAUUUGAUGUCUGGUGAGGGAUACUUCCUGGUUCAUAGAUAGCCAUCUUCUGUUUUUGUCUUCACAUGAUGGAACGGUUACAGAAACCAACUUUAGCUAAAGGACUUAAAGGAUGCUGGACAAUCCAUAAAUCCCAAGGAAAGAACUGAACAAGGAAGUCUGGGGAGGGAAGAGAUCGGACAGUUUGGGGACUUCCGCAGCAGCCAAAAGCCACUGAAGAGAUUUAAGCAGAUAUGAAUUACCUUUUUUGAAAAACACUCCAGCUGCUCAAUGAAGAAUGGAUCCUGUGAAGACUUGAAUAAGAGUGACAGUACUAGAGAUGCUGCACACUGAAGUUCUCUCUUCUUGAGCUGGGACAUCCAACUUCUGCCUCAGACAUCAGCUCUCCUGAUUCUCUGGAAUUUGGGCCUGGACUGGAACUAUAUACCGCUGGCUCUUCUGAGCCUCCAGCUUGUGGGACUCAAGAAGAUUGAGGGACUUUUCAGCCUUCAUAAUCCCAUGAGCCAAUCCCUCAUAAUAAAUCUCUUUCUGUAUAUCUCUCUCUAGAUAUACCUUUUUGGUUCUAUGUCUCUGGAGAUCCCUGAUUAAUACAUGUUAUUUUCUUUUCUACUUUUUUUUCCAAUUUUAAUGUGAAGCAUAUUAUAAAUACAGAAUAGUGUAUAACAUGCAUUUGUACAGUUUAAAGGAUAAUAAUAAAAUAAACACCCAUAUAGUCAUCACUUAGCUUAAGACAGAACAUCAUCAAUGCCUAGAAAUUGUUUUCCAAUUGCAUUUUUCUUCUUCCUCAAACAAAACCAUUAUCCUGAGUUUCGAGUUAAAAUAUCCUUGCUGUUUGCUGAUAGUUUCACUUCUUAGAUAUGUAUCCUUUAACAACAUGUUGUUUAGUUUGGCUAUUUUUAGUCUUCACAUAUGCAGCUAAUCCUUGAUUUAUGAUGGGAUUACGUCCUGAUAAACCCAAACCUAAUGUGAGUUAAAAAUCAGAUGGGUUUAUUAGGAGUGUACUGAAUGCAUAUUGCUUUUGCACCAUGAUAAAGUCAAAACAUUGUAAGUCAGGGACCAUCUAUAUAGAAUCAUAUGGCAUAUAUGUUUUUAUGAUACCCUUUUUUGCCCAAUAUUAUGUGUAUGUGAGCCAUCCAUGCUGAGGCACACUUAUUUACACUGCUGUAUAUAUUCCUUACACACAUGUAUUAUCUCGUCUGCCUUUGAAUGACAUUUUUGCAUUUAAGGUUGCUGAGGAGAAAUCUGCUAUUUCUCAGUGUAAAUGACCUGUUCUGUUUUGUUUUCAGCCUGGAUGGUUACAGGCCCUUUUUCCUUAUCGUUGACAGUCAAUGUUUGCUAGAAUAAAUCCAGAUAAAUAUUA